CGCCUCUUGCUAACAAAGGAAGUACUAGAGGUCCCGCCUGCCCUGUGACCACAAAGUUUAACGGCCGCGGUAUCCUGACCGUGCGAAGGUAGCGUAAUCAUUUGUCUUUUAAAUAGAGACCUGUAUGAAUGGCAUAACGAGGGUUUAACUGUCUCCUUCCCCCAGUCAAUGAAAUUGAUCUGCCCGUGCAGAAGCGGACAUAAAUACAUAAGACGAGAAGACCCUAUGGAGCUUUAGACAAAAGAUCAAACAUGUAAAGAAACCAAAACAACCAAAAGGAACACGAAGGCCACAAAACCCAACGUAAACUGAUCUAAAUGUCUUCGGUUGGGGCGA
rnacentral:rRNA from 1 species